CCGGCCGCCACCUAAGAUGUAACUUUGCUCCUCACUCGCCUUCCUCCAUGAUUGUGAGGCCUCCCCAGCCAUGUGGAAGUAUUAAAGCAAUGAAAGGGGUCAGAAUCUAUUGGUGUUAAGAAGUCAGCCUCAGCACUAAGAGAAAGAAGGAAAGAAUGAAGGAAAGAAAGAAAGAACAAUGAAAGCAUUGUAAGAAAUAUUUAUACAGCAAAUGUUACAGAGAAAACCCCAAACCAAAAUGUAUUUCAAAAAAUGUUGGAGGAAAUGUUAUAUCUUUUUAUGUGCUUAAGAAAACAGUUAAAAAGAACUUCACAGCAUUGGGUCUAUUAAGCACAUUUAUUCCAGUGAUUUCCCAGAUAUUUCCAAGUUCCAUUUAAAACAGAAGUCUCCUAUCAAGGAAUCCUUUGAAAUUAUUUACUCUUUUAUGGUUGUAAAGUAUGGAAAUGUAAUGCUUUUAAUGGAAACCCUAAUAAACGGCACAUGCUACAA
rnacentral:lncRNA from 10 species